CUGACACCUCUACACACCACCAGCUGCACCAUACGCGCCAUGGCCGCCGCCGUUACCAUACACCGCGAGGCGGCUAAACCCUAGCCAGGGUGAGGCACAGAUAAAACAAGGCAGGCAGCUCCACGUGUAGGGGGUGGAUGGGUAAGCCAGUGGAAGGCCUCAGUCAGGGGACUAAAAGUUCCAGUAGCAGGUCAUCAUACGACUAAGACCCGCGUUAGGAAACAUUUAGCUUGUUUCCUGACGAAUCUUACCUAACUUGAAAGCUUUGUAGCUUUCUGCAAACCUUUACUGGGAAACUUCUGAAGGAAUUAAGGCUCCCGGUUGCACGUGGUUUCUGAGGGGAAGUCCAAGGGGGCUAAGGCUAAGCUUAGGGAAGUUGAAGAUCAGGAUAUAUGCUGCAACACCAAGUAAGUUAGUCCUCUAUACGUGCAUGCAGGCGAGUUUCUUGCAACAUCAAUCAUUUGUGAAAAUCUGUCCUAUAAGCCACUUGUGAGGCUGAGGUACCCACCUCAGAGCUCGGUGUCAACAGAGUUUGCCAGGGUAGGCGACUCACUUGGAGGCAGUCCACACAAAUUUUCACAAGAGACCUGAUUUAAUGACUCAUAAUAUUAACCAUAAUUUUUAAAGGCGGUGGACCGGUAAGCCAGAGGAAGGCCUUGCUUAGAUGACCAGAAGUUCCAGCUGUGGGUCGUCAUAUGACUAAGACCUGUGUCAGGAAACUCUUGUCCUAUUUCCUGACAAACAUUAUAUCUAUGUAAGGACUUACGUUUCUUUAGGUGCCUCUGUUAAACCCAUUUUGAUUGUUUGGUUUCCUCUGUUACUCCAGGGUUGAGUGUAUAGUUCCCUUCUAUAUUAAUCCCGGUGUAAAUGCAUAGUUCCCAUUUUAAUCCCGGUGUGAUUGCAUAAUUCUCUCCUCUUUUAAUCCGUGUGAAUGUAUGA